rnacentral:rRNA from 1 species
AAAAUUCGAAGUAUAGGAGGUCUUGCCUGCCCAGUGACAAAUUAAACGGCCGCGGUAUUUUGACCGUGCGAAGGUAGCGCAAUCACUUGUCUUUUAAAUGAAGACCUGUAUGAAUGGCGAAACGAGGGCUUAACUGUCUCCCCUUUCCAGUCAAUGAAAUUGAUCUGCCCGUGCAGAAGCGGACAUAAAAAUACAAGACGAGAAGACCCUUUGGAGCUUAAGAUACAAAAUUAACCAUGUCAAGAACCCAGUUAAACUAAAUGGUGCCUAAUUUCUAUCUUCGGUUGGGGCGACCACGGGAGAAAACAAAGCUCCCAUGCGGACUGGGGCUAAUCCCUAGAACCAAGAAAAACACUUCUAAGCAACAAAACAUUUUGACCAACAAGAUCCGGCAUUAACGCCGACCAACGAACCAAGUUACCCUAGGGAUAACAGCGCAAUCCCCUUUCAGAGUCCAUAUCGACAAGGGGGUUUACGACCUCGAUGU